AAACGGGGUCUAAUACCGGAUACUGACCCUCGCAGGCAUCUGCGAGGUUCGAAAGCUCCGGCGGUGAAGGAUGAGCCCGCGGCCUAUCAGCUUGUUGGUGAGGUAAUGGCUCACCAAGGCGACGACGGGUAGCCGGCCUGAGAGGGCGACCGGCCACACUGGGACUGAGACACGGCCCAGACUCCUACGGGAGGCAGCAGUGGGGAAUAUUGCACAAUGGGCGAAAGCCUGAUGCAGCGACGCCGCGUGAGGGAUGACGGCCUUCGGGUUGUAAACCUCUUUCAGCAGGGAAGAAGCGAAAGUGACGGUACCUGCAGAAGAAGCGCCGGCUAACUACGUGCCAGCAGCCGCGGUAAUACGUAGGGCGCAAGCGUUGUCCGGAAUUAUUGGGCGUAAAGAGCUCGUAGGCGGCUUGUCACGUCGGUUGUGAAAGCCCGGGGCUUAACCCCGGGUCUGCAGUCGAUACGGGCAGGCUAGAGUUCGGUAGGGGAGAUCGGAAUUCCUGGUGUAGCGGUGAAAUGCGCAGAUAU
rnacentral:rRNA from 1 species